UCGGUUUGGAAAUUAAGUCAGGUAAAAAUCGAAGCGAAAGCAUGUGGAAUUUAAAUUGCAUUGAGUAAGAUAACCUAUCGCUCAGUGUAGUGUCCUUGGAUUAGCCAACAAGAAGUAGGUAUUCAUUGCAUUAUUGGCAUUAAUUGCUCAGCCAGCAAAAACCGCACUUUCCAAUCUCCUUGAUCUGGCAUUCGAAAUUCCAUCGUCAUCGUCAUCGUCAUCUAAACAAUGUGUAAUUGGUAAUUUAUGGUAAAUACAUAUGUAUAUGUUUAUAUGGUA